AGGAUGAACGCUGGCGGCGUGCCUAACACAUGCAAGUCGAACGUCCUGUCUCGCAAGAGGCAGGGAGUGGCGGACGGGUGAGUACCACGUGGGUCAUCUACCGUGAGGUGAGGAAUACCGGCGAGAAAUCGCCGACAAGACCGCAUAGGCUCGAUGCAAGUCGAGCAAAGCUCUUUCGAGAGAGGGAGCGCCACACGAGGAGCCUGCGCCCGAUUAGCUAGCUGGUGGAGUAACGGUUCACCAGGGCGACGAUCGGUAGCUGGUCUGAGAGGACGAUCAGCCACACUGGGAUUGAGAACGGCCCAGACUCCUACGGGGGGCAGCAGUGAGGAAUUUCGUCAAUGGGGGCAACCCUGAACGAGCAACGCCGCGUGCAGGAAGAAGGUUUUCGGAUCGUAAACUGCUUUUCUCGGGAAGAGAACGGACGGUACCCGAGGAAUCGAGCCCCGGCUAACUACGCGCCAGCAGCCGCGGU
rnacentral:rRNA from 1 species